rnacentral:lncRNA from 1 species
AUAAUGGCAAUGUAACAGUUGCCUUAUCGUGCGCCGAGAGAAAGUUUAAGCAUGCACCUUUUAAUUUUAUGAAUAGUUUAAGGCAUAGUGAUUUUAAAGAGAAGCUACUGGUUUUAUAAACAAAAUUCUGCAGAUUUUAAACGACUUUACUGUUGAUUUUAAAAAUCGUAGAUGAAAUAGACGAAACUGAUUUAAUUGACUACAUCCUUUAUGCAUGGUUUCUAAGCAUUGUUAGUUUAUAACUGUUAUGUAAGUGCAGCAGUCCUAUUAGCAUGGUGUCUAGGAUGCAAUUAAUUAUUUUAACCUAUAGACUGUUUGCCUAAUGUGUAUAUGCAGAAGUGCAGAAACCUAUAGUCAUGAUUUCUAUAUGUAGAAUAGAAGAAACUUAUAGACAUGGUUUCUAAUGCUGAAAUGAAACAAUCUUAUAGGCAGGAUUUCUAAAUGCAUGAUGAAUCUUAUAGGCAGAAUUUCUAAAUGCAGAUACAUAGUCGAAAAUGUUGUGAUUGCAGAAAUAAAACCAAAAGCAUGACAUCUACCCCAUAUGCAUAAUCAUGAGAGACACUCCCUCAUUUUUACUAUACACCCCAUAGUUGUUACAAAUUAUACAACUGGAAUGAAUCCAGAAAAAAGUAAAUUACAUCAGAAAUUAGAAUUCCAACCAAGGAGAUCCUAAUUCAUACUCCUAGUCUGACACAUGAAUAAACCAACAGAUCAGAUUCCCAAAGCCUUUCUCAUCUUUUGGGUGUGUCAAAGUUCCAAAGAGUUUCAUGAACUUCAGGAAGUGGUUACACCCAAUUAUAUUACAGAAUUAUAAUGCAGUGUGGAAUGGCCAGCCCUCCAAUGUCCAAGUUCAGAGGGAACUCAAGGUCCCCAAAGCAAGGCCCAUAGGAGGGGGCAGAACUUUGAGUCUAAGAGUAAGUGUAAGUGCAGUAUAAGGGGAAUUAGGGAAGAGCCAUGAAAAACUAGUGGUCAUGCCCAGCAAUUGGGAUGCUGGCACACCCUUGACCAGUCUGUUAGCUUAAUUUGGGAGUUAGGACCUAUUGAAGGUCAGGUUUAUACCUGGGCAAUAAUUUAGAUACUACCAGGCCAAAACCAUUAACUUGGAUACAUAGAGAAGAAUAGGGGAUAUGGAUUCAUAAUAGAAGCAAUAUAGAAGGAAAGAAACACGCAUAAAUUAACUAUUGAACAUGAACAACAAAGUGGGAAUGAGUAGUGAAACUAUGAAAUAAACAUAUAGGGGUGAGGCAAAAAAUUAAAUCAGACAUACCAGUUUCAGGAAAAACAGGUAAGUAAAACAUCAGUCUUGAAAAGCCAAAUUGCAAAGCAGUACAAAAGUCUCAGUAGAGAUUGGAAGGUAUUGAAAAAGUAUUAUGAUUAAAAGUGUGUGUGUGAGUUGUAAGGUCUUAUCAAAGCUUAAAGCUUAAAUCCUCUCCCUCUUAAUGUAGACGGGUCAAGCCCUUUUUAUAUUGUAGCAAGUGAGCAAAAAAAGGUAAGGAAAUAUCAUUCUGAUCAGUCUCCCUUUAGUUAAGGGAUUCUAAUCUCAAGCAGGUAAAGCAAUUAUGGAAAGGGAUUUUAAAAAAUAUUUUCCCAGUAAUAUAAUAAAGGGUAAGUACAUAGAAGCUAUUUAAGGCAACAAACUAAUAGUACACGGCUUGUAAAAAAGGAAAUGGAAUCAACCAGUAAAAAUUAAAACUUCAGACUUUUACUCGAAUAAAUUGAUUCCGAAAAAAGGGUAAAGAAAGGUUCAAUUAGGGAAAAACAGUAACAAUAAAGUGAACACAAUUAAAGAAAUCCGAAAUCAAUUAGUAGUUGGCAAAGCCUUUUCGGAAGAAGAGUUCUCAUAUGUAAACAUUCAAACAUGUAAAUCAAGAAGAGAUCGUCAAGUUAUUUAAAAGAGAAUAUUAAUCGAAGAGAAGUUCAGAGUCAUAAGCAAGGAGAUGCAGGUUCAACCUGCAGACUCAUAGUGAGUUUGAGAUUCCAGGGUCCCAAUAUGGAACCCUGACUCGAACAUAAAAAUCAAAGUCGUCAAAAGUAAACCCAAAAUCCUAGGGUUUCAAAUGUUGAAUCAGAUAUGGGGGUGGGAAAACGAACCAUUUACUUUUCAGAGUCUCAACAAAACAGACAUGAUAGCAUGCUUGAACAACAAAGGAAGAAAAAUCAUGAAGAAAAUAUUCGAGAAACUCAGAACAUAAACGAGUUCAGAAGAAAGAGACAGUGCAAACUUGAACACAAGCAGAUGAAGCAUGUAAG